UUUAUGGAGAGUUUGAUCCUGGCUCAGAGUGAACGCUGGCGGCGUGCCUAAUACAUGCAAGUCGAACGAUGAAGCUUCUAGCUUGCUAGAAGUGGAUUAGUGGCGCACGGGUGAGUAAGGUAUAGUUAAUCUGCCCUACACAAGAGGACAACAGUUGGAAACGACUGCUAAUACUCUAUACUCCUGCUU
rnacentral:rRNA from 1 species